UACGGAGGGGACUAGCGUUGUUCGGAAUUACUGGGCGUAAAGCGCACGUAGGCGGAUUUGUAAGUCUGACGUGAAAUCUCCGAGCCUAACUCGGAAACUGCAUCGGAUACUAUCCGGCUUGAGGGUUGGAGGGGGGACUGGAAUACUUGGUGUAGCAGUGAAAUGCGUAGAUAUCAAGUGGAACACCAGUGGCGAAGGCGAGUCCCUGGACAACUCCUGACACUGAGGCACGAAAGCUAGGGGAGCAAACAGG
rnacentral:rRNA from 1 species